CCGACACAUGCCAGUUUGGGGUGGGAGGAAGGGAGUCUGGGAGAGGAAUGUGGGUAGGAGUGGUCAGACUCAACGACAGCUGCUUCCAGGGAGAGCAUGCAUUCAAGCCCUCACAGGAAGCAAAGGAGUACAGGGUCCUCAGUCGAAGCCCCAAGUCCCUCCAUCCCACGGACUUUGGCGGGGCAGCCUGAGGUUAUUGAGCCUGAGGAAGUUGGGUAAUGAAGGCACUGUACUCUCCCUCCCUGACCCCAGAUCAGGGGUUACAAAGAUGAAUGACUCCAAACCCAACCUCAACCAAUUGACAGUCUACCAUGCUCUAAGUGAACUGUGAUGGCUGAAAACAAGAAGUCGGGGGAAGGUCAGUUCAAAGAGCAUGGCAGGUAGGGUGACUGUCCUCAUUUUAACUUGAAAACUCGUAUACAUCAGGAAGCCACUGCUUACCAGGCAAGCCUCAUGGUCCAUCAUGCUAGUGGUGGGACGAUCCAGGGAAGCACUCAACCUUGUCUCACCAAACCUUGGAGGGUUUGCCAAAUUUCCUUGGCCAAACUGGGGAAGACCUUCUAUUGUAGGGAUUGGAAGACUUGUGGAGAGAUGGCAGAAGGCCUUUUAUCUCAGGGAACAGAGCCACUGCCUUGCAGAAGUACCUCUCUUCUCACUCCCCCUUUUCCUGACUCCCAUUGCUUGAGGGUUCAGAUCUGGUAAGUCUUGGCAGAUACUGUUCAGAUCCCUCAAAACAAGCGGGAAAGCAGACAUAGCCAAUGCUUCUCAAGAUCCUUCCAGCUCUUCUCUCCUCAGCCAAGCCCUUGGGCUCUCUACCAGGAGAACUUGUUCUACCCACAAGAUGAAGGAUGGCCACCUCGUUCCUACAUACUUUGGCUGCCUUGGAACCAUCACAGGACUGAUUGACUUGCCUGUAUGAUAUAGCCAUCUCAACACUGGCCUGUGUGGAUGUGUUUGCUGGAUAGACACCAUUUAGUUGCCUGAGGAGAUCCAAGAUGAUUUUGUUUUUCUCCAUGAGAGAACCUCUUUCCCAGGGAGGCCACAGCCUUUUUCCGUGCUCUGAAGAACCUAGAAAACUACUUGGACUGCAUCUCUUCUGUUGUCCUCUAAGUGCUAGUCCAAUACUUCCUGUCUGAACCAGCCCCUGUGCUGUGCAGAGCCCAUUAUGGAAAGGUGAAUGAUGUUAAAUCAGGAGGACACUUGUCUAGCUUUCCAGAGCAUCUUUCCCCCACGCAAGUCACUUUGGGGAAGGUGACAUCUGAAUUCUCUGGGUCUGUAUUUCAUCUUCUAAUAGUAGACUGUUGGAGAUGCACUGGGAAAAAUAUCUUAAUGUUUGCUCUGAAGCCUCUCCCAGGAAGGAAAGGACACGGAAAGUUUUACUUUGUCAGGAUGCCUUAGAUGUGCAUGCCUUUCUGCUCUCCACCCGUCUUAUGAUAUGGUGUCCCGCGGGAUUGUCUCGCCGGCAAGAACGACACAGAACACUCGGAUCCUUCUGCAGUAAAGCUUUAAUGCGUCUUGAGAGAGAGAGCAUAAGCUUACAGAGCGGAGACCCCGAGCCAAGAAUCCCAUCCCCUAAUAAAGGCUGGCAACCGCCACCUCGGACGUGUCACCCCAUGAUUGGCUGCAGCUCAUCGGACCAUAUGACGCCACGGAAGAGGCAGAGAUCAAGGAAUGGAAAGUUACCCAGUGCCUGCGCGCACUAACUUGUUUGCAUUCGGUGCCUGCCGGAUGCAGGCGCCAUCUUGUAAUGGAGAAUGCAGGGACGGCUCCCUACAAUAUGGACCUGCAUGCUGUGCAUUCCGCUUUG
rnacentral:lncRNA from 1 species